AUACAGGGGGUGCGAGCGUUAAUCGGAAUUACUGGGCGUAAAGAGUACGUAGGCGGUUGCUUAAGUCAGAUGUGAAAGCCCCGGGCUCAACCUGGGAACUGCAUUUGAAACUGAGUGACUAGAGUUUAAGAGAGGGGAGUAGAAUUCCGGGUGUAGCGGUGAAAUGCGUAGAGAUCCGGAGGAAUACCAGUGGCGAAGGCGGCUCCCUGGCUUAAAACUGACGCUGAGGUACGAAAGCGUGGGUAGCAAACAGGAUUAGAUACCCGGGUAGUCC
rnacentral:rRNA from 1 species